CAAAGGUUUGGUCCUGACUUUACUAUCAGCUGUAGCCACACUUACACAUGCAAGUAUCCGCACCCCUGUGAAAAUGCCCCACAGCUCUCCGCCCGAGAACAAGGAGCCGGUAUCAGGCUCGAUACUCCCAGCCCACGACGCCUUGCUCAGCCACACCCCCAAGGGAACUCAGCAGUGAUAAACAUUAAGCCAUAAGUGAAAGCUUGACUUAGUCAAGGCUAAGAGAGUCGGUAAAACUCGUGCCAGCCACCGCGGUUAUACGAGGGACCCAAGUUGAUAGUCACGGCGUAAAGAGUGGUUAAGAAAAACUAUAAACUAAAGCCGAACACCUUCAAAGCUGUUAUACGCAUUCGAAAGUAAGAAGCCCAACUACGAAAGUGGCUUUACAACACCCGAACCCACGAAAGCUAAGAAACAAACUGGGAUUAGAUACCCCACUAUGCUUAGCCUUAAACAUUGAUAGCACCCUACAUCAGCUAUUCGCCAGGGGACUACGAGCAUAAGCUUAAAACCCAAAGGACUUGGCGGUGCUUAAGAUCCACCUAGAGGAGCCUGUUCUAGAACCGAUAACCCCCGUUUAACCUCACCCUCCCUUGUUUAUCCCGCCUAUAUACCGCCGUCGUCAGCUUACCCUAUGAAGGUCUAAUAGUAAGCAAAAUUGGCACAGCCCAAAACGUCAGGUCGAGGUGUAGCGCAUGAGAGGGGAAGAAAUGGGCUACAUUCACUACCAUAGUGAAUACGAAUGAUGAACUGAAAUGUUCAUCCGAAGGAGGAUUUAGCAGUAAGCGGAGAAUAGAGUGCUCCACUGAAACCGGCCCUAAAGCGCGCACACACCGCCCGUCACCCUCCCCCAGCUUAACUUAAAUAAUAAAUAAUAACACAAACACUGUUAAGGGGAGGCAAGUCGUAACAUGGUAAGUGUACCGGAAGGUGCACUUGGAAAAAU
rnacentral:ncRNA from 1 species